rnacentral:snoRNA from 1 species
AUGACAUUUUAAGUUUGACACAGUGCCUUAAAUGUUUAACACAAAAGGGUAAAGUAAGCGUACAUGAAACCCAGAGAAGAGACUGGAAGUCCUCUUUAGAUCCUCUCUGGAGUCAUGGCU